UACGGGGGGGGCAAGCGUUGUUCGGAAUUAUUGGGCGUAAAGGGCGCGUAGGCGGUGCGGCAAGUCUCCUGUGAAAUCUCCGGGCUCAACUCGGAGUCUGCAGGAGAAACUGCCGUGCUUGAGUGUGGGAGAGGUGAGUGGAAUUCCCGGUGUAGCGGUGAAAUGCGUAGAUAUCGGGGAGGAACACCUGUGGCGAAAGCGGCUCACUGGACCACAACUGACGCUGAGGCGCGAAAGCUAGGGGAGCAAACAGG
rnacentral:rRNA from 1 species